rnacentral:rRNA from 1 species
GACGAACGCUGGAGGUAUGCCUAAUACAUGCAAGUCGUACGAAGCUGUUCUGCUUGCAGAACAGACUGAGUGGCGCACGGGUGAGUAACGCGUGGGUAACCUGCCUCAUAGUACAGGAUAACAUUGGGAAACCAAUACUAAUACUGUAUAACUUUUGUUAUCGUAUGAUAACGAGCUAAAAGUUGCCCUCUAUUUAUAAGGUAACGCUAUGAGAGGGGCCUGCGUUCUAUCAGUUUGUUGGUAGGGUAACGGCCUACCAAGACGAAGAUGGAUAGCCGGCUUGAGAGAGUGAUCGGCCACACUGGAACUGAGACACGGUCCAGACUCCUACGGGAGGCAGCAGUAGGGAAUAUUCCGCAAUGGGGGAAACCCUGACGGAGCAAUACCUCGUGAAUGAUGAAGGCUCUAGGGUCGUAAAGUUCAGUCGGCAGGGAAGAAGAGUAGUAAUUCGAAUAGGGUUAUUAUUUUGACGGUACCUGCAGAGGAAGCCACGGCUAAUUACGUGCCAGCAGCCGCGGUAAUACGUAAGUGGCGAGCGUUGUCCGGAUUUACUGGGCGUAAGGAACGCGUAGGCGGUUUGUUAAGUUGGAGGUGAAAUCUAUGGGCCUAACCCAUAGCUUGCCUUCAAAACUGAUGAACUAGAGUAUUGGAGGGGAAAGCGGUAUUCCAGGUGUAGCGGUGAAAUGCGUAGAUAUCUGGGAGAACACCAAUGGCGAAAGCAGCUUUCUGGACAAUAACUGACGCUGAGGCGUGAAAGCGUGGGUAGCGAACAGGAUUAGAUACCCUGGUAGUCCACGCCGUAAACGAUGGGAACUAGUUGUAGGAGCUAAGCUUCUGUAACCAAGCUAACGUAUUAAGUUCCCCGCCUGGGGAGUACGGUCGCAAGAUUAAAACUCAAAGGAAUUGACGG